rnacentral:sRNA from 1 species
UAUUUCCUUUUGUAUAUUACUUUUUUGUUUGUAUGUAAGCGGGAAUACUUACCACA